UACGUAGGGUCCGAGCGUUGUCCGGAAUUAUUGGGCGUAAAGAGCGUGUAGGCGGCCGCACAGGUCCGUUGUGAAAACUGGAGGCUUAACCUUCAGACGUCGAUGGAAACCGUGCGGCUAGAGUCCGGAAGAGGAGAAUGGAAUUCCUGGUGUAGCGGUGAAAUGCGCAGAUAUCAGGAAGAACACCCGUGGCUAAGGCGGUUCUCUAGUACGGUACUGACGCUGAGACGCGAAAGCGUGGGAGCGAACAGG
rnacentral:rRNA from 1 species